GCAGAGCCACCAGAUCAGAUAUUUGUGGCAUAGCCACCAGAACGCUUCCUCCAUAAUAUAACCCAUGUCCCCAUGCAACAGAUAUAUAAUCAUGGCAUACAUCAUACAGAAUCAGAUCGUCAUGUUUUUCAGUCAAAAUUAACCCUAGGGGUAUAACGGUAAUUUUGCACCUAGGGGUAUAACAGUAAUUUUCCAUACAUAGGGGUAUUAUAGUAAUUUAGCUACUUUUAGGGUUUUC
rnacentral:lncRNA from 1 species